ensembl:snoRNA Gm23605 small nucleolar RNA SNORA17
CUUGCCACUACAUGUUGCCAGUAUGGCUGCUGUGUCACAUGAGUCAGUAGAUGUAUAGAGGACAGUGGUUAUGUCUAUGCUUGAUGUUCUGACUGGUGAACAUCAGAAAGAUCAGUAGCUUAACAUUUCCUGAAU